GAAGCAUCUUCUGGGUGCAGGCCUGGGUUGCCCAACUGAUGUCCCUGCCCAAACCAGACACCUGUCCCCCAGCCACUGAGGCCUUGCUGGUCCUGCUCUUGACUGAGAUGGGAUUGCAGGGACUUGGUGGACCAGGGGCCCAGGUGACCUUUUCCCAGUCAGUUCUGGUCCCUCAGGAGAGCUGGGUGGGUCUGAGUGGCCAUGAAGCAGAGCGGAGGAGGCCCUCUAUAAAUGCUGGUUGGAAGAAAGAUUGAAGACCUGGCAAUUCCCAGGAGUGGUGCUGGCUGGCCCCAAGGAGUGCACUGAGGGUGCAGUCAAAGAAGCUGGAAGCUCUACCCAUUCUUCAGACAAGAAGGUCCUGGCUACUGACCAAUUUGCUGCCAGCUGGAAAGAUGACAUCAACUUGAAUGAUCAGAACAGAUAGUUCUCAUUGAACAGAACAAUUUUCUUUCUAUUGAAGAAAAUUUAAUGGGACAUAAAAAAAAUUUAGUGGGACAACUAAUAUAGAACUUAAAACAAUCUACAAGAACAAAAGUACUUCUAUGAGAAUUCAACAACGUAUUUCUAAAGAUUAUCUGAGAAUAAAAAUUAUUUGACAGCCAGGGAUUUAGCUCAGUGAUUCUGCUGCCUGCCUCACAAGUGCAAGGUCCCAAGUUCAAUCCCCGGUACAAAAAUAAAACGAAACAAAACAAAAAUAAUUUGGCAAUUUAUAAAUAUUCCAAAUUGAAAAUCCAGUAGAUGAAGUCAAAAGUAGAAUAAAUAAUUCUGGGCCAUAGAGGAAGUCAUUUAGGAGAUUAAAUGGAGGAAUUAUCUUGUAAUAUUGGACAAAAGCAUAAAGAAAUUGAAAUUAUGUGUGAAAUGGUAAGAUCAAGGCUGUCAAAGUUAGAUCUUGUAUCUGAAUAUUUGUUCCAAAAGAAGAGAAAGGAAUAUAAGGAAUAAAACCAAUAAAGAAAGAAACAAUAGAAGAAAACUUGUGACUUAAAGAAAUACUUGAGUAUUAAGAUCAAAAGGAAGCUGGGCUGGUGGUGCAUACCUGUAAUCCUAGCACUUGGGAGACAGAGGCAGGAGGAUUACUGCACAUUCAAGGCUAGCCUGGGCUACAUAGUGUGUUCAAGGACAGCCUGAACUACAAAGUGAAACCUUGUCUCAAAAAACAAAACAAAAAAAGAUCAAAAGCAUUCUUUGAAUGUCUAGCAAGAUUAAUAAAAAUAAUAUCUAUCUAAUUAUACUCUGCUGCAAUUUAAAAUAAAAAAGUGAAAAUUCUAAACAAAUCCAGACAUAAAAAACAACCAGAAACAAAAUUAGUUAUCUGAAAAGAAAAAAAUAAUCAGAAUGUCACUGGAUGUAUCUUCUGCAACUUGGAAAACUCAAGAACCAUGAAACAAUACUCAUAAUUUCUGAUCUAAGAUUCUAAGCCAAAAAAUUAUUUACAUAUGAGUGAAGACAUUUUCAAAUAUAUAAAGAUAUCUAUGAACCCUUCCUUCCUCCUCCCCUUUCCUUUCCUUUCCUUCCCUUCCCUUCCCUUCUCUUCCCUUCCUUUUCUUUUCCUUUCUCUUUCCCUUCCCUUUUUUACUUUCUCCCUUUCUCACUUCUUCCCUUCCUCCCUCCCUUUCUUUUCUUUUUCUUUUGCAGUGUUGGGGAUUAAAACCAGUGUGCUCAGCCUAGGGAUUUAGCUCAGUGGUUUUGCUGCCUGCUGUGCAAACGCAAGGACCCGAGUUCGAUCCCUGGUAUAAAAAAAAAAAAAUCGCCAUAGGUCUAAUCCAUAUUACUACACUCUUUUGACAGUGAAAUCUGGGUUCAAAUUUAACUUGCAAAAUGAAAGUAUCUAUUAGUAAAUUUGAGUUACAAAAGCUCCCAAAUACAGGGAGAAGAAACAUGAGUAGUUACCCAGGGUCAGGUAGAGAGGGGCAUUUAGGAAGUAAAGGGACAACUUUCACCCUCCACUCCCUGCACCUCAUUCUUCUUUAAUUUUUGAAUUCUUUUUAAAAACAAUGACACUGC
ensembl:lncRNA